UACGUAGGUGGCGAGCGUUGUCCGGAUUUACUGGGCGUAAAGGGAGCGUAGGCGGACUUUUAAGUGAGAUGUGAAAUACUCGGGCUCAACUUGAGUGCUGCAUUUCAAAUUGGAAGUCUAGAGUGCAGGAGAGGAGAAUGGAAUUCCUAGUGUAGCGGUGAAAUGCGUAGAGAUUAGGAAGAACACCAGUGGCGAAGGCGGUUCUCUGGACUGUAACUGACGCUGAGGCUCGAAAGCGUGGGGAGCAAACAGG
rnacentral:rRNA from 1 species